rnacentral:rRNA from 1 species
GACGAACGCUGGCGGCGUGCCUAAUACAUGCAAGUUGAGCGCUGAAGGUUGGUACUUGUACGAACUGGAUGAGCAGCGAACGGGUGAGUAACGCGUGGGGAAUCUGCCUUUGAGCGGGGGACAACAUUUGGAAACGAAUGCUAAUACCGCAUAAAAACUUUAAACACAAGUUUUAAGUUUGAAAGAUGCAAUUGCAUCACUCAAAGAUGAUCCCGGGUUGUAUUAGCUAGUUGGUGAGGUAAAGGCUCACCAAGGCGAUGAUACAUAGCCGACCUGAGAGGGUGAUCGGCCACAUUGGGACUGAGACACGGCCCAAACUCCUACGGGAGGCAGCAGUAGGGAAUCUUCGGCAAUGGACGAAAGUCUGACCGAGCAACGCCGCGUGAGUGAAGAAGGUUUUCGGAUCGUAAAACUCUGUUGGUAGAGAAGAACGUUGGUGAGAGUGGAAAGCUCGUCAAGUGACGGUAACUACCCAGAAAGGGACGGCUAACCACGUGCCAGCCGCCGCAGUAAAAC